AUGCCGUCGGCCUCUGAUGCAUACUCAGGAACAAGUGGCGGCGCGGCGGCCGCCAAACCAGAUCUCGGCGAUGUUUUCAGCCAGUUGGACCUUAGCGAUGAGAACUUCGAUGAUGUGGAGAUCGACGCCAAGGACCUGGAGAUCAACGAAAGCGUAAGAUGGUUACUAGCUAGGGUUCUUACAGAUAAAACGUUCAGCCAGUCAGCUUUCUACAAGGACAUGCGCGCGGCUUGGAAUACGGCGCAAAGAGUUAGGUUUCGUCCGGUUGGACCUAAUCUGUUCGUCGUGCAAGCUUCCUGCUUGGGCGAUUGGGAACGCAUGAUGCACCAAGGACCUUGGCUGUUCCGGAAUUGGGCAGUGCUGCUCUGCCCUUAUGAUGGUUUUAGUAAAACAGAGGAGAUCAGCCACGUGCUCAUGCCGAUCUGGUUGUAAAUCCAUAAGCUACCCGAUGGCUACUGUAAGCAAUCUAUCGUGGAGAAGCUGCUUAAGGAUUCUGGUGAGAUUUUGGACAUGAGGUUGAGUGGAAAUAUCCGUGGGGAUUAUGUAAGGGUGUGUGUUAAACAUGACAUACGUCGCCCUCUGACGAAGUUUGUGAGCAUUGUGAGGAACAAGGAGCGCCAGAUAUACAUGGUGCGAUAUGAGAAACUUGCUCGCUUCUGUAGGGUCUGUGGCCUAGUGGGACAUGUGUUCAAAGAAUGCGGUUCUGGGAUUCAUGAUGAGAAGAAGGUGAAAUAUGGCGAAUGGCUGUAUGUUGAUGGACCUAAUCAGGUCGGAGCUGAAUCUCAAGCACCAAAAGCUAGCAGGCCUGCUUCCCCAGGAUUGAAGCAUGAUGAGACCUCGUUGGCCGGACGUCGAGGGAAGGAAGGGCAGGAGCAUCUGAAUCCUGAUCUGCAGGACACUGCUACGUCCCCUGCAAAGGAUACUACGCCUGGUGUGGCUGUGAGCAAGGAUACUAGGAAGAGAUUGAAUGUGGAUGAGGUGGCUGGAGGCUCUGGCAAUCCGAAGAUGAUCCUUGCGAUCACUGAUGGUUCAGGUGUAGACAAAGUUGGUGAAGACUCCCAGACUAGCAGUACUAGUAGCAAGAGAGCAAGGAUGGACAAAGAUGUUGAAAAAACUGAGAUAUCGGCGACCUCCCUAGAGGAGGGUCGUCGAACGCAAUGA
rnacentral:rRNA from 1 species